AGUGAACGCUGGCGGUAGGCCUAACACAUGCAAGUCGAACGGCAGCACAGUAAGAGCUUGCUCUUACGGGUGGCGAGUGGCGGACGGGUGAGGAAUACAUCGGAAUCUACUUUUUCGUGGGGGAUAACGUAGGGAAACUUACGCUAAUACCGCAUACGACCUACGGGUGGAAGCAGGGGAUCUUCGGACCUUGCGCGAUUGAAUGAGCCGAUGUCGGAUUAGCUAGUUGGCGGGGUAAAGGCCCACCAAGGCGACGAUCCGUAGCUGGUCUGAGAGGAUGAUCAGCCACACUGGAACUGAGACACGGUCCAGACUCCUACGGGAGGCAGCAGUGGGGAAUAUUGGACAAUGGGCGCAAGCCUGAUCCAGCCAUACCGCGUGGGUGAAGAAGGCCUUCGGGCUGUAAAGCCCUUUUGUUGGGAAAGAAAAGCAGCAGGUUAAUACCCCGCUGUUCUGACGGUACCCAAAGGAUAAGCACCGGCUAACUUCGUG
rnacentral:rRNA from 1 species